rnacentral:lncRNA from 1 species
UCCAAAUGCUUUUUACCCGUUCGAUAAUGACCUUCGGCAAGCAUUAACAAACCGUAAAGAUACAUACCGUUUGCAUUUUUUCCAGUGGCUGAUUGGCGUAGAUGAAUGUGGCCUCUCUGUUUUCUUUGUGGGCGAAGAAUUGAAGUAAGCCCUCAAUAUAGUGUGCCUCAGGGUUGCCAUUCUCUAAGCACAAUUCCUUGAGCCUAGCGUGCUCAGUCAACAUUCGGAGUGGUUCCGCAGCAAAAUAUCGUAGGCUGAUGUUUCUGAAAUAGCUGCUGGGAUCUGCGUUCGAAUAGUCGUCGUAAUCAGAGGCAUCAACGAUGUCGUUGGUGUUGUAAUUGUUCACAGAUUUUUCUGAUUCCAUCGUUAAUGGUCUGUCUUUGUUGGCUGCUCUGUUUUUUUAUUUCUCUUAGUUUUUACUCUCACUCUCUUUGAAAUGGUGUUUGUGAAAGUGCAGGAAGGUGGAGGAGGAUAGCUUUAAUAGGAUUGUUUGAGAAUCAUGUGAAAAAACAGGAGCCUCAUGUUGGACACGUUCUGUUUUGUUGCUGUUGUUCAACAAAGAUGUCAGUUUAUUACCAAAUUGGAGAAGUUUUGCUUUUUGCAUGCAUUAUCAUAUUACCAAGGGAAGUGGUCCGGUUUCUGAUGGACCGUGGUGAAAGUUAACAAAUAGCAGAAGACAUGCAAUGGACUUCGCUCCCAUCUGGCAUCCCACCUGGACACA